rnacentral:rRNA from 1 species
UAAGAUUAGCCCAGGUGGGAUUAGCUUGUUGGUGGGGUAAAGGCUCACCAAGGCAACGAUCCCUAGCUGGUCUGAGAGGAUGAUCAGCCACACUGGAACUGAGACACGGUCCAGACUCUACGGGAGGCAGCAGUGGGGAAUAUUGCACAAUGGGGGAAACCCUGAUGCAGCCAUGCCGCGUGUAUGAAGAAGGCUUCGGGUUGUAAAGUACUUUCAGUCGUGAGGAAGGGUGAGCAGUUAAUAGCUGUUUAUCUUGACGUUAGCGACAGAAGAAGCACCGGCUAACUCCGUGCCAGCAGCCGCGGUAAUACGGAGGGUGCGAGCGUUAAUCGGAAUUACUGGGCGUAAAGCGCAUGCAGGCGGUCUGUUAAGCAAGAUGUGAAAGCCCGGGGCUCAACCUCGGAACAGCAUUUUGAACUGGCAGACUAGAGUCUUGUAGAGGGGGGUAGAAUUUCAGGUGUAGCGGUGAAAUGCGUAGAGAUCUGAAGGAAUACCGGUGGCGAAGGCGGCCCCCUGGACAAAGACUGACGCUCAGAUGCGAAAGCGUGGGGAGCAAACAGGAUUAGAUACCCUGGUAGUCCACGCCGUAAACGAUGUCUACUUGAAGGUUGUGGCCUUGAGCCGUGGCUUUCGGAGCUAACGGUUAAGUAGACCGCUGGGGAGUACGGUCGCAAGAUUAAAACUCAAAUGAGUUGAAGGGGGCCCGGACAAGGGUGGAGCAUGUGGUUUAAUUCGGUGGAACGCGAAGAACCUUAGUUACUCUUGACAUCCAGAGAAUUCGCUAGAGAUAGCUUAGUGCCUUCGGGAACUCUGAGACAGGUGCUGCAUUGCUGUCGUCAGCUCGUGUUGUGAAAUGUUGGGUUAAGUCCCGCAACGAGCGCAACCCCUAUCCUUGUUUGCCAGCACGUAAUGGUGGGAACUCCAGGGAGACUGCCGGUGAUAAACCGGAGGAAGGUGGGGCGACGUCAAGUCAUCAUGGCCCUUACGAGUAGGGCUACACACGUGCUACAAUGGCGUAUACAGAGGGCUGCCAACCAGCGAUGGUGAGCGAAUCCCACAAAGUACGUCGUGGUCCGGAUUGGAGUCUGCAACUCGACUCCAUGAAGUCGGAAUCGCUAGUAAUCGUAGAUCAGAAUGCUACGGUGAAUACGUUCCCGGGCCUUGUACACACCGCCCGUCACACCAUGGGAGUGGGCUGCACCAGAAGUAGAUAGCUU